rnacentral:rRNA from 1 species
GACGAACGCUGGCGGCGUGCUUAACACAUGCAAGUCGAACGGAAAGGCCUGCUUUCCCUUGUGGAUUGCGGGUACUCGAGUGGCGAACGGGUGAGUAACACGUGAGUGAUCUGCCCCCAACUUGGGUAUAAGCCUGGGAAACUGGGUCUAAUUCCCGAUAGGACUGCAGGGUGGUGCCUGUGGUGGAAAACGAUUUUCUAGUGGUUGGGGAUGAGCUCGCGGCCUAUCAGCUUGUUGGUGGGGUAAUGGCCUACCAAGGCGGCGACGGGUAGCCGGCCUGGGAGGGUGGACGGCCACAUUGGGACUGAGAUACGGCCCAGACUCCUACGGGAGGCAGCAGUGGGGAAUAUUGCACAAUGGGCGGAAGCCUGAGGCAGCGACGCCGCGUGGGGGAUGACGGCCUUCGGGUUGUAAACUCCUUUCGACCGCGAGGAAGCCACCUGGUUGGAAGGGUGGUGACGGUAGUGGUAGAAGAAGCACCGGCUAACUACGUG